UACGUAGGGGGCAAGCGUUGCUCGGAAUUACUGGGCGUAAAGGGCGCGUAGGCGGCACGGCAAGUCAGGAGUGAAAGCCCGGGGCUCAACCCCGGAAUGUCUUUUGAAACUGCCGGGCUAGAGUCCGGAAGAGGCGAGUGGAAUUCCUGGUGUAGCGGUGAAAUGCGCAGAUAUCAGGAGGAACACCAAUGGCGAAGGCAGCUCGCUGGGACGGUACUGACGCUGAGGCGCGAAAGCGUGGGGAGCAAACAGG
rnacentral:rRNA from 1 species